rnacentral:rRNA from 1 species
GAUGAACGCUGGCGGCGUGCCUAAUACAUGCAAGUCGAGCGAACGGACGAGAAGCUUGCUUUUCUGAUGUUAGCGGCGGACGGGUGAGUAACACGUGGAUAACCUACCUAUAAGACUGGGAUAACUUCGGGAAACCGGAGCUAAUACCGGAUAAUAUUUUGAACCGCAUGGAUCAAAAGUGAAAGACGGUUUUGCUGUCACUUAUAGAUGGAUCCGCGCUGCAUUAGCUAGUUGGUAAGGUAACGGCUUACCAAGGCAACGAUGCAUAGCCGACCUGAGAGGGUGAUCGGCCACACUGGAACUGAGACACGGUCCAGACUCCUACGGGAGGCAGCAGUAGGGAAUCUUGCGCAAUGGGCGCAAGCCUGACGGAGCCACGCCGCGUGAGUGAUGAAGGUCUUCGGAUCGUAAAGCUCUGUUAUUAGGGAAGAACAUCUGUGUAAGUAACUGUGCACAUCUUGACGGUACCUAAUCAGAAAGCCACGGCUAACUACGUG